rnacentral:lncRNA from 1 species
UUUUUUUUUUUUUUUGCUUUUUAGGGCUGCAUAUGGAGGUUCCCAGGCUAGGGGUUGAAUCAGAGCUACAGCUGCCAGCCUACCCCACAGCCCCAGCAAUGUAGGAUCCAAGCCGCAUCUGUGACCUGCAUCACAGCUCGCAGCCACGCCGGAUCCUUAACCCAUUGAGCAAGGCCAAGGAUCGAACCUGCAACCUCACGGUUCCUAGCUGGAUUCGUUUCCACUGUGCCACGACGGGAACUACAAGCAGCAAAAUAAUUUCUUGAAAGGACCUCAGGUAACUUGCAGAAACCGAUCUUCAGUUACAGGGUAUUUAGUAUUUUGAAUUCUAAAGAAUUCAAACACAUGGCAGGAAAAAAUAUAUAUUUGUUCCAGAAAAUUGUAAACUUAUCUUCGCCCCUGCUUUCUCAAGAAGACAUAUAGGCAGGUAGCUGAGGGUUUCUGGUUUCCUGGGAACAAAGUCUUAGUCAGGGCGGAGGCCUUGCUACGCUAGAUCACAGCCUUACAGCCUGAGGACGAAGAGAAGCCCAGGGCUAACUCUGCAAAAAAAGGAGGGGGGGAUAGAGGAGACCCCGGAGAAUUCAGAGGCUUGGGAUCGCUUGAGGGGAGAGAGGGCUGUUUGCUGUAACCCUCCUUCCAUCUCUAGAUAGAAAUCCUCAGUACAAUGCCCAUUUCUCACGGCAGCCUUGCGGCCCAGUUUUGCUUUGGGGUAAUUAAGGGAAGCACUGAGCCCUGCUCCUUGGUGAAGGGAGUGAGUGGAGGCGGUGAAAGGCUGACACACCUGCACUGUAUUUUUGGACCCUGCCUGGGCUUUGGAUGGGCCAUUCAAAUCUCGAGUGAAUCGGGUUUACAUCAUUACUCUAAAUAAAAAGCCAAACAUACAGCAUUGCACCUACAGUAAACCAAUGCACUUCAUUUUGUUAAGAGAGUAAGUCUCAUGUUGAAUGUUCCUACUGGCCUAAAAAAUUUAACAACCGAACAUGCCUCUCCCCACCCCAGGGCUGCAGAAGUGCCAGGGCAGAGGCUGAUUCAGCCCAAGGAAAGAUGACCCUGGGAUAUUACCUCAACACCAGAGGGAAGUUGUGACUGUGAGGUCAGCAUGCUGGCCUGAUCAAGAAUGGACUUUUCAGAAAGUGUAUUAGUCAGGAUCCUUUGGGUUGCAAAUCAUGGAAAUUCAUCUCUCACAUGUUAAUCAAAACAAACAAACAACACCCAAAAACGUAAAAGGGGAAGGUGGAAUUACUGGCUCACAUAAAUGUGAAAGGCAGGAGUAGUGCUAGCUUCAGGAACGGCUAGAUCCAGGCACCCAAGUCAGGUUGCCAGGUGUUUAUCGCCAUCUCACCACUCUGUCCUUUUUUGUGUGGGCUUCUCUCCCAGUUUAUGUCCCUCCUGGAGGGGCAAGAUGGCCCCGCAAAGUACCAUCCCAAUAUCACCCCUGCUGGAAAGAGCUGACUUUCCCAACCGUUCUGAGGAAAGUAUCAGGAUUGAGUCUCAUGGAACUGGCUGGGUUAUUUCCCCAACCAUGGAGUUAGGAGAAUGGGGUGAGCCACACAGGAACUCCUUGAACUGAGAGCAUAGGCAGGAAAAAUCUCUUAAAGGAAGUCAAGGUAUUUCUGAUACCAGGAAUGGGAAAACAGCAGUCCGUGACAAAUGGAGACACGCAUCCUAUGAAGUGAGCUCAGGAGACAGAUAUAAAAACAACAACAACAAACUUCCUUGUGUCACCCCGGGCUGGAAAUUGGUGUUUAAUCCAGGCUUGAAGGACACAUGACUUACUAAGAAACGAGAGUGUCUCCAGGAAGGGGUGAGGCGGACUGGGGCAGAUACCCUUGGCUGAUUUGGGUCCCCACGCCUCCCCUUCUAGCCUUAGCUUCAGAGACAGGAUUUCCUGGAGCGGGAGCUGUCGCUGUAGAGCUGGCCACCAGACAAGCUCUGAAACCUUGGUCAAGGUCACAUGCUGCCAGACAAGAGGGACAUUUGCAGGGACUGCAGCCCCAGGGACAAGAGAGGAGAAUGCUGAAUUGUGGUUAGAGCUUCAGUGCAUCGUUAGAGGAGGAUGGUCGGAGAGAGGGGGAAACGGAGCCACAGUUUAGAGGUUUUAGGCUCUGGCAGCAGGAACCAAACGCAGAUUCGAAGCUGCCCAUCAGGGCCUCCAUCUCUGCACGAGAAUGACCAGUGCUGCUUGAAGGCAUGGGCAGUGGAAAGGGAGGUGCUGGGAUUCCUCUGUCUCUGAGACAGCAGAGAGGAGAGAAGGACUCCCCACACACAGUAGAACAGUAGAUAAAAGAGAUCUGUGCUGUGAGCCAUGAGCCGUAGGACGAGAUGUGCUUGAUCACAGCUUGGAGAAUCUGGCCCUGCGGGAGCAGAGAGAUAACCGUGGGUACAAGGGACACAGUCACAGUUUCCCCCGUCGCGCUGCCGCAAAGCAUUGGAAUGGCAGACAGCUUACAAAUGUAUUAAAGCAAAGGGGCAUUUUCAGAGAGAGAGAACGCACAUGAGCACAGGUUAAAAAAGAGGGCCUGGGAGGUCCCAUCGUGGCGCAGCAGCAAAUGAACCCGACUAGCCAGGGAUCGAACCUGCAACCUCAUGGUUCCUAGUUGGGUUCUUAACCUGUUGAGCCAGGAUGGGAACUCCCAUGACCUUUCUUGUUCCAGGUCCUGGGAACUGCUUCUCAGCCGCUUUAGCCAUUCAGGCCUAGAGGUGGGGACAGCUCUGCUGCCAGCUCCACGUUAGUGCACUUGAAGUCACCCUGUGCUUUGUAAUUAGGCCCUGUAUAAACAAACCGCCUGCCACUUUCAGGAGAUGGGGAGCUUGGCGCCGAGGCAGGAGGGGGUCUACCUUGUGCUACGGAGUAGGGGUGUCAGAGAUCUGGGGACCGGGUUUGUCUCUGAAGUGAGAGAGCGGAUCGGGCCUGAACAUGCCACCAGCUCUCCUGGGCUCUUUCAAUGCUAAUGCGUCCACAUUUCAAGCCACCACGGUUCCACAUCUCCCCUAGUUCUCUCUCUUCCCCAGCAAAGCUGAGUAUGUGUGGGAGGCAGAGGAAGCAGGGCCAAAUGGGGCAUCCAGGAGGCUCCCUCGAAGAGACUGGGGGCCUGUGGGGAGGGAAAGGGGCCUCUCCCCCUGGAUGCUCUCUGAGCUGGGACUCUGCAGGCUCUUCCUGGUGCUGCAGCUGGAAUCAAGUGUGGUGAGAAAGUGGGGCUGUGGGCAGGGGGGACCUACGAGACUGGGGCUGUUUGUGAACACAGAGAAUGGAUUAGAGAGUUCUAAAGACAGGCGGCUCGUGGAAGGGCCUACGUCAGCAAGCUUGUCAGGAUCAAGAUAUUGGGGGGCCUGGGAGGAACAUGGGGCACCCCUCCCAGUUCCUCAUAUUUGCCAUGGCUCCAUAUGAAAGAGCGUGAGGUUGAGAGGAGGAACAGAGGGCCAGCCAGCAGCCACAAGGAGUAGGGUCCCCCAUUUGGGGGAGGGGCUGGGGACAGACCCAUGGUAGGGACAAAGGAAGGCCAGGCAGCCCCUGUCCGUGGAAGUCCUUGGCAAUGAGGGGCCAAGGGAGAGCUGAGUGACACCCAGGAAGUCACGGGUGUUCCCUCUGUGGACAUCACCACAUCACAGAGGCCACCAAGGGCAAACAGAACCGGAGCAAGGUCAGGGACAGGUCUCUGAAGCAGAAUGAAGCCGGGGGGGCAAGAGAGCUCACAGGCCUUCUCUCCACCCCCAGGAGUUAGUGAUGAGAAAAGAGAGCGGAGCAUGCCCCUGGCCUAUCACGGUCCCCAGCCACCAAGCCUCUCUAGUCACAUUCUAGCCUGGGUGGGGUAGAGGGUUGCUGUGAAUUGGGUAAGAGGUUGAAGUUUUUGCUUUGUUUUUGUCUUUUUUUUUUUUUUUUUUUUUUUUUUUUUUUUUUUUGCCUUUUCCAGGGCCAGCAUAUGGAGGUUCCCAGGCUAGGGGUCGAAUUGGAGCUGUAGCUACUGGCCUACACCAGAGCCACAGCAACACGGGAUCCAAGCUGAGUCUGCAACCACAGCUCACAGCAACGCCAGAUUUUUAACCCACUGAGCAAGGGCAGGGACCGAACCCGCAACCUCAUGGUUCCUAGUUGGGUUCGUUAACCACUGCGCCACAACGGGAACUCCGAGACUGAAGUUUUAAACUGGACGGGUCUAGGUUUAAAUAACUGAAUGAGGAGUUCUCGUUGUGGUUUGGUGGGUUAAGAACCCAGCUAGUAUCCAUGAGGAUGUGGGUUUGAUCCCUGGCCGUGCUCAGUGGGUGAAUGACCCAGUGUUGCUGUGGCUGUGGUGUAGGCCGGCAGCUGCAGCUUUGAUUCACCCCACGGCCCGGAAACUUCCAUGUGCUGCAGAUGUGGCCCUAAAAGAAAAGACCAGAAGGUUAUUAAAACUGCCUGUGGUGUUAAAAAAGAGGAAAGAGGAAAGGGAAUGAUGAGGAAGAUUAAAAAGACCCAGAAUUUCUUCAUGCAACUACCUCAACAGGUUGAACCAAACUCCUCAGCAACCAGGUGUGCUAAGAAAAUGACCACUGGCCUCCCAUCUCCAUAGUGAGGCAUCCCUCCCACCUGAGCCAAAGAGAGCACCUGGGGACCAGAGCACCUGCCAAAGAGCCUGAGCUUCACCUUAACUGGGCCGCCUUGGCUGACAAGCCUCUCUUGAACCCAUCCCUGGACCAAAGAGGUGGCAGGUACUGAUUGUUCGAGCUCAGGUCAUAUUUCUACCCCUGGAGGUGGCCUCCCUGGGACCACAGCAUUCCCAGAAGGGAGGUGGGAACUGCAGGGAAGAAGGAAGGAAGGAUGAAUUGGGGGAAAUUUCGCGUUGGGGAAACUUUUGGCAUAAAGUUUCUGUCCCAGGAAGAGAGUGGAACCAAAACAAAAACGUACAGGAGUUUUAUAAUUCCCAGAAUAACAGCCAUUGACACGCUUAAAGAUGACACUAACGGGGGGGUUGGAGCAGCAGGGCAGAGUUAAAUAUCCCGGCAGUAAGGAAAAGGAGGCCCUGUUCCCCGGUGGCCCAGUGAAGGACUCAGCAUUGUCACCGCUGUGGCUGCUGUGGCUCAGUACAGGAACUUGCGCAGGCCGUGGGUGCAGCCAAAACAAACAAACGAGAAAGAUUUUUAAAAAGAAAGAACGAAACAGGCGGCCAGGAGAGCUCUGAGCUGAGGGCGAGCUCCUGGGGGCUGGGAGGGGCCUCUGGAUGAAGGGAGGGCAGGAAGGGGAGCUUCGGGACUAAAGGCACGUCUGAAGGGGAUUUUCCGAAGUGAAAUGGUGAAAGUGAAAGUGAAGGAAGCCAAGAGCAGAGCCCUCGCCCCCGUUUUCCCGUGUGAAAUCAGCAGUUACAGGGUCAGUCUCUUCGGCUGUGGGCAUGACGACUGAAUGCAAGGUGGCAGCCAGGACUGGGUCCUGGGACAAAAGUGGGACAUGGCUGCAAACGCUGGUGAAGUCCACUUACAGCCUCGAGUAAAGGGCAUAGCCACUGUUGGAGGUCCCCCCCGCCCCCGCCAAAAAAGAGAGAGAGAGAGAGACAAAAAAUAGUAAUUAAUGUCAAUUUCUUUGUUGUGAC